rnacentral:rRNA from 1 species
UACGUAGGGUGCAAGCGUUAACCGGAAUCACUGGGCGUAAAGCGCGCGCAGGCGGCUUUGCAAGACAGAUGUGAAAUCCCCGGGCUUAACCUGGGAACUGCAUUUGUGACUGCAUGGCUAGAGUGCGGCAGAGGGGGAUGGAAUUCCGCGUGUAGCAGUGAAAUGCGUAGAUAUGCGGAGGAACACCGAUGGCGAAGGCAAUCCCCUGGGCCUGCACUGACGCUCAUGCACGAAAGCGUGGGGAGCAAACAGG